rnacentral:rRNA from 1 species
GCCUACGAGUCACCGUGGCCAGCGAGGGUAAGCAUUUCAGAUGCGCACCCGUAGCGAGAGCGAGUCUUAACAGGGCGAACUAGUUGGUCGAGGUGGACGCGAAACCGUGUGAUCUACCCUUGGGCAGGUUGAAGCUGUGGUAACACAUAGUGGAGGACCGAACCCGUUGACGUUGAAAAGUCUUGGGAUGACCUGAGGGUAGGGGUGAAAGGCCAAUCAAACUUCGUGAUAGCUGGUUCUCCCCGAAAUGCAUUUAGGUGCAGCGUUGUAUGUAUUUAUAUAGAGGUAGAGCUACUGAUUGGAUGCGGGGGCUUCACCGCCUACCAAUUCCUGACAAACUCCGAAUGCUAUAUAAACUGUACAGCAGUGAGGGCAUGGGUGCUAAGGUCCAUGUCCGAGAGGGAAACAACCCGGACCACCAGCUAAGGUCCCUAAGUGUGUAUUAAGUUGAGAAAACGCGGUCGGACUGCUUUGACAGCCAGGAUGUUGGCUUGGAAGCAGCCAUUCAUUUAAAGAGUGCGUAACAGCUCACUGGUCGAGCGGGGCGGGCAUCGAUAAUAAACGGGCAUAAAGUAUAGUACCGAAGCUUAGAAUUGUAAUUUAUUACAGUGGUAGGGGAGCAUUCUCAUAGCGGUGAAGGUGUGUGGCGAUGCAUGCUGGAGCGAUGAGAAAAGCAAAUGUAGGAAUAAGUAGCGAUAAUGUAUGUGAGAAACAUACACACCGAAAGACUAAGGAUUCCUCCGCUAUGCUAAUCAACGGAGGGUUAGUCGGAUCCUAAGGAUAAUGCGAGAGCAGAGGCCGAUGGGAACAAUGUUAAUAUUCAUUGACCUGUAUUAAUUGCGAAGCGGGGACGGAUUUUGAAGCUUCAUACGUACUGACGGAAUAGUGCGUUGAGCGGCGGCUUAGGCUAAAGCGAAUGGGGGGACAAGGUUCCAAGAAAAGCCGAUAAGCUCUAGAUUAAUACAGACCGUACCGUAAACCGACACAGGUAGUCGAGGCGAGAAGCCUAAGGUGCUCGAGUGAUUCACGGCUAAGGAAUUAGGCAAAUUAACCCUGUAACUUCGGGAUAAGGGGAGCCCUCAUAAUAAAAUGAGGGCCGCAGAGAAAUGGCCCAGGCGACUGUUUAGCAAAAACACAUGGCUAUGCGAAGAUUAAUGUCGACGUAUAUGGCCUGACACCUGCCCGGUGCUGGAAGGUUAAAAGGGGGGCUUAGCAGCAAUGCGAAGGUCUGAAUUGAAGCCCCAGUAAACGGCGGCCGUAACUAUAACGGUCCUAAGGUAGCGAAAUUCCUUGUCGGGUAAGUUCCGACCUGCACGAAUGGUGUAACCAUGGCCACGCUGUCUCCACCCG